AUGGGUGCGGUGCUAUCAAAGAAAAGGAUAAGGAAAAGUGAUGCCGUGGUGCAGGAGGUGAAGGUGGUGGAGUCGUGCAUGGUGGCACCAAGCGCGCAGACGCCUAGGCACGGCCUGUGGCUCUCCCCGCUCGACCUCAUGCUGGUCAACAGAGGCCACACCCCCACCGUCUACUUCUACCGCUCCGAGUCCGGCGGCGACUUCUUCGACGUGGCCAGGCUCAAGGCGGCGAUGGCCAAGGCUCUGGUGGCCUUCUACCCCCUGGCCGGCCGUCUCGGCGUGGGCGGCCGUGACGGCAGGGCGGUGAUCGACUGCGCCGGUCAGGGCGCGCUCUUCGUCGCCGCGCGCUCCGAACUGGCCGUCGACGACUUCAGCGGCUUCAAGCCGUCGCCGGAGCUAAGGAGGCUCUUUGUUCCCCGCGUCGAGGAUUACUCGCCUCCCGUCAUGUGCGCCGUCCAGGUCACCUUCUUGAAGUGCGGCGGGGUGGCACUAGGGACCGCGCUGCACCACGUCGCCGCCGACGCCAUCAGCGCCUUCCACUUCUUCGAGACGUGGUCCGCCUUCUCACGGGACGGCGACGCGGCGGCGGCGGCGGCCCUAGAGCCCCCGUUCCACGACCGCACCCUCCUCCGCGCGCGCUCCCCGCCCUUCGUCCACCCGGACGCGCUCACCGUCUUCUGCCCCAAGCUGAACCUCUCCACCGAGCCGUCGGCGAGGCCCGUCGUCAGCGAGGCUUUCGACAUCUCCAAGGACCAGGUCGCCGCUCUCAAGAGUGCGUGCGUCAGCGGCGAGGGCGGGCGCGUGAGCACGUUCUGCGCCGUGAGCGCCCACGUGUGGCGGUGCGUGUGCGUGGCCCGCCGGCUGCCGCCGGACGCCACGACCCGCCUCACCUUCCCGGCCAGCGUCCGGCGCAGCCUGAGGCCGCCGCUCCCGGCCGGCUACUUCGGCAACGGGGUCAUCUGGCUGGGCGCCGCCGGCCAGGUCCGGGACGUCGCCUCCUCGGGCUCGGAGGGCCUGCCCUCCGUGGCCGACCGAAUCAGGGGCGCCGUCCGCCGGAUGGACGACGAGCUGGUGCGCUCGGCGGUCGACUACUUCGAGCUGACCACGGAGGCGGACAGCAAGCCAGCGCCGGGCCGCAUGGCGGAGACGGAGCUGAGGGUGAUCAGCUGGCUGGGCAUGCCGGUGUACGACGCGGACUUCGGGUGGGGGAAGCCGCUGGCGAUGCUGCGCGCCGAGGCGGAGCGCGCCGGGUUCGUCUACCUGAUGGACGGCGGGCAGGGCGCCGGCAGCGUGCGCGUCGUCAUCUGUACGGAGGCCGCGAUCCUGGACGACUUCCAGCGCCUGCUAUAUGCCAAGUUCUAG
rnacentral:rRNA from 1 species